rnacentral:rRNA from 1 species
UACGGAGGAUGCGAGCGUUAUCCGGAUUUAUUGGGUUUAAAGGGUGCGUAGGCGGUAUGGUAAGUCAGCGGUAAAAGCCCGGGGCUCAACCCCGGCGAGCCGUUGAAACUGCCGUGCUAGAGAGGAAGAGAAGUAGGCGGAAUGCGCAGUGUAGCGGUGAAAUGCUUAGAUAUUGCGCAGAACUCCGAUUGCGAAGGCAGCUUACUAAGCCAUAACUGACACUGAAGCACGAAAGCGUGGGGAUCAAACAGG